CACGACAUUGCUUGGUAACUGAGGAGAUGUCCAAGGUUACAUGUCUAAAAAGAGUAGACUGCACACUUUUUUAAAAUGAUAAAGACAGGCAUAGUACACUGUGAUGGCUUGUUAAGAGUGUGAUAGUGUGCAGGCGAGUGAUACUGCCUCGGAAAGUGCUGAACUGUAACAGGUUAGGUAUAUAUGCAAGAGCCACAGCAACUAAGUUUAGUGCCAUAAUUUACAAUCUCA